UACGGGGGGGGCAAGCGUUGUUCGGAAUUACUGGGCGUAAAGGGCUCGUAGGUGGUCAACUAAGUCGGAUGUGAAAUCCCUCGGCUUAACCGGGGAACUGCGUCCGAUACUGGCUGGCUUGAGUUUGGGAGAGGGAUGCGGAAUUCCAGGUGUAGCGGUGAAAUGCGUAGAUAUCUGGAGGAACACCGGUGGCGAAGGCGGCAUCCUGGACCAACACUGACACUGAGGAGCGAAAGCCAGGGGAGCAAACGGG
rnacentral:rRNA from 1 species